CUCUCAAAUUUCCAUUAAAUGCAACUUUUGACGAUUUGAAAACCUGAAAAUUAUAAAGCGUCUCAAACGCGAAAUGAGUUAUUUUUAGUCAGAAAUUGUGAAUGGGAUCCCAACUAGUAUACCAGAAUGCAGCAUGCGCAUGCGCGCUGCGCUUAUCCGCUUUGGGUUUACAAACAAUGCAUCUCAUUUCUGUGAGAAAAAGAGAAACAAAAGCCGGAGCCAGCGACAUCGCUCGAAUUUAUUCAAUCUUGGCGACAAGACUAAGUGUUUGCAGAACCAUAGGAGGAUCGUUGGAAGAGACGAAGACAGGGUAAUGGCUUAAACACACGAAAUGUAUUUAGGAAGACGUGCUGGCCAAACUAUUGCAAGUUUACUGUUCAGCAUAAUGUUAGAUCAACAAACUCUUCACCUAUGCACGAUCAUCAGCCCCAGCCAGGUCCUGGCCUGUCAUUUGUGUCACAAGGAAGUACCACACCUGGUCAUGUGUCAGAAAUUGGAGAGAUAACAUCUUACUAAGAAGUAAAUUGAAGGCAGCCAACAAUUGGACGGUGGUGCCAAUCAAUGAAAAGAAGGGAUACACCUACAUGCACUGAGUACACAGAGAUCAUCAAGGAAAAAACCCUUCGAUCAAAGUUCCUUUUUGAUUCAGCUUAUCCAAAGCUGAUUGCCUCUACAAUUGCCCCUUAUAUAUCCACCUGCGGCUAAUGAGGAGCUGCAAUAUCCAAUAGGUCAAGGGCAAGCAACCCGGAAACAAUGUGAAGAUUUACUCAUACAAAUUGGUACAUGGUGUAUGUAACUAUGUUGUUUUAACUAACUUCAACAUACCAUUAUUAUGAAUUAAAAAUUUGACAAAGCUGAAAUAAAUGAUAACCGACUAUGGGUAGGAACAUGUUGUGUGAAUUUGGCAGCAUGGUUUUAUAGGACGUAUACCAUUGAGUAUGAAAGUGCAUGUGUGACCCUGGCUGUUUUUUCAGUCAGUAGAUGACUUUAGUAUUUGAAAUGAUGCUUGAAUUUAUUUGUGUAAUAUGAAGGCGUGACCAAAUGUGUGACAUUAUGGUCGACUGUCCUGUCAUCAUCAUGGUGAUUAAAUGUGAUUUUAAUAAGUGAACUGCUUAUAAACAUAGGGCAGAAAUAUCAUUGAUAAAAUACUGAUGAACAUAGCAUACAAGUGCCCUGAAAUGCCAUGAGAAUAUGUAUUUGAGUUUUAGGUGUGUAAGGUAUUGUGAAUUUUGUUAAUUGUUUUGUUAUAAAAAUAUAGGAUCCAAAGUAUUAAAUCAUAGAUCACUCUGAAAAAGAAGAAUAAGUCUGGCAAAUACCUACAUAAACAAUGGGCCAAGUUCCAGAUUUUUUUGUCAUAAGUCAAGAUUAUUAACAGGAAUUGUUGACUCUUAUAGGUGUUAUGUUUCAUGAUUUGUGUUAAGUUUUUAUGGGAGACCCAUGAUCAAACAUGGUGAAUUAAUUGUUUUGUUAUUACAAUAGAGGAUCCAAAGUAUUUGAUAUAGGUCACUCUGAAACAGAAGAAUUUGUGAAAACCUUGUCUGGCAAAUAGCUAAAUAAACACUGGGUUCAGCAUUUUCCUGAUUUUUUGUCACAAGUAAAGACUAUGAACAGGAAUUAUUGACUCUUUUAGGUAUAAGCUACCAUAGUCAAUGUUGAGUGUGUGCUGCACACCACAUUUGUUUAUGUUCCAUUAACAAUGACAUCAAAGCACAAUGCUAUAUAUAGAUUAUGUAUUGUUUUCCAUUGUUUAUCAGUCUAUAAACAACCAUUUAUUGUAAAAGCCUUACAUAAACUGUCAUAAAGAUGAUAAAGUGCUGUUUAUCCAUAAAUAAAAAAUUGGUGGAAUUCAGAAAUAAUUUGAUCUGUCAAAUGUUGAAAGUUGGAAACAUUUAUUCAAAAUGUUAUCAAUUAUAGUUUUGUUUCAUGAAUAUAAAGUAUUAUGUUUUGUGUUCAUUAUGUUAAGGAUUUUGUUGUUUUGGUUUAAAAUGUUUUAAUAAAUAACAUGAAGAAAUAAGAAGCUAGUUGUUCAAUUUUGAUUUAUUAUUACAUGUAUAUUACACAGCAAAGCAUUACUGCAAGAAUGUUAAGUGAACACCUUAUUAUAAUACAUGUUGAGUUCAACACUGAACAAAAGAAUAUGCAUCAAUUAAAAACAACUCAUAAUA